UACGGAGGGUGCAAGCGUUGUUCGGAAUCAUUGGGCGUAAAGCGCGUGUAGGCGGCUUGGCAAGUCAGUUGUGAAAGCCCGGGGCCCAACCCCGGAACUGCAUCUGGAACUGCCUGGCUAGAGUCCCGGAGAGGAAGGCAGAAUUCCCGGUGUAGGGGUGAAAUCCGUAGAUAUCGGGAGGAAUACCAGCGGCGAAGGCGGCCUUCUGGACGGUGACUGACGCUGAGACGCGAAAGCGUGGGGAGCAAACAGG
rnacentral:rRNA from 1 species